AGGAUUUAGUACCUUAGUCAUCGUAGUGAGAAGAUAGGUAUAGGUGGAUUAUUAUUGAUGGGGAAUAAGUGUUUGACAAUAUCUCGCUACCGCGAUAUAUCACGAUAUUUUACAAACCAAUUGGUUAUCGAUAUGCUCCCGCCAAGUAUCGAUACUUUUAUUUGACAUAUUGACCAUACAAUUGAGUAUGGAUGAUCUACUGCUCAAUGUUUGUUGAGCAAUUCCUGUGCGGUCCAUUAGGGGCGCUCAAGAGUGGCGGUGAAGGUAACGUGCGCACAGGUCGACUAGAGAAGAAGAGAAAACUACAAGUGGGAUGAAAAAAAUAAAACGGUUUAGCGAGAACGGUGGAGGGGAAAAGUGAGAAAAUAGUCCUACAAAUCACAGGUGUGGACAAACUUUAGAUAUUACACUAACAAGAAAGGAAGUAAGGUGAACAAGGACUUUGCUGUAUGCAAUAAUUGUCACAAAAAUAAGGUUCACUGGAAAAACAAUAGUUAUGCACAGCCACUUGCUGCUGAUGACGAAGUGGUCACUGGAUUUCUUUACUGCCGUCACUGCUUGGGUUUCAUCUCCUGAGCUUUUGAUCCACUCAGCCUGUGUAACCAUUCAUCUUCUGGUGUGCUAAUUGAGCAAAGAAGGAGAACAAAAAGCAGCACAGACAGCGCGCAUCCCUGCAGACCAGACAUGGGGGGCGACUCACAACUGAGAUACCUUCACGGCAGGAUUUUAUCGAGGCCCAAAGGUGCUCAGAGGAAAUGGUCCGGCUCAACUCCGUAGGGAAGCCGCAGAUGGGCUUGACCUUUUGCAGCGUGUCAAGCAAAGGUUAGAAAUCUCCACUGGCCUUAAAACAAAUGCACUCGCUGGCUAUAAUGGAGAAGGCCCCUGCCUCUCGCGGCUAAAACCAGCCAUUCCGGCCCCGGGGGAAAAUUCCUUCUCAUGGAAUUCUCUUUGCGUUCACACACAUUUAUAUGGUAGACAAGACAAGCACAGUUUGGAAGAUGUAAAAUUAUGUGUAUGUUGUUUUUAACUUGUUUUCAUCGUGUGCCACAUCAUUAGGUCUGCCAACUCCCUGAAAAAUAAAUAAGAGACACCUCAUUGGUCUAGCCAGCCGGCCCGAUUACCUUUAAUCAUUUUUUUGUAUAUGAAAAGGGAUUGUUACAAUUAUACUGUAAACUAAAUUAGUUAAUGCCACAAACCAAAAUUCAUUUUGCCACAUGCCAAAAAAUGCCACAUGGUAAAAUCCAUUUUAUCACCUGGCAAAAAAAUGCCAAAUGUCAAAAUCAAUCUUGCCACAUGGCAAAAUUCAUUUUGCCACAUAGCAAAGAAAAAAAAAAUGCCACAACGCAAAAAAAAAAAAAAAAUCCACAUGGCGAAAUCCAUUUUGCCA